rnacentral:rRNA from 1 species
UACGUAGGGUGCGAGCGUUAAUCGGAAUUACUGGGCGUAAAGCGUGCGCAGGCGGUUUUGUAAGCCAGAUGUGAAAGCCCCGGGCUUAACCUGGGAAUGGCAUUUGGGACUGCAAGGCUCGAGUUUGGCAGAGGAGACUGGAAUUCCUGGUGUAGCAGUGAAAUGCGGCAGAUAUCAGGAGGAACACCGGUGGCGAAGGCGGGUCUCUGGGCCGAUACUGACGCUGAGGUGCGAAAGCGUGGGGAGCAAACAGG